CAGCUGUGGUCACCUUGGACUCCUCUGUUCUAGGUCUUUGGCACCAACGUAAUGGUGACAGUUGCCAAAUCGUUUGAGGCCCCAAUAAAACUGGUUUUCCCUCAGGACCUGCUGGAGAAGGGGCUGGACGCCGACAACUUCGCCAUGCUGGGACUGGGAGACAUUGUCAUUCCGGGGAUCUUCAUUGCCUUGCUGCUGCGGUUUGAUAUCAGGUGAGCAGGCAGCAGGGAAGGGUCUCUGGCAGGUUGGAUCUUGCAGCAUAUUUGAGCUGCUUUUGUGGAGGAAAA